AGAAUCAACGCUGGCGGCGUGCCUAACACAUGCAAGUCGAACGAGAAAGGGUAGCAAUACCUGAGUAAAGUGGCGCACGGGUGAGUAACACGUGACUAACCUACCUUUUAGUGGGGGAUAACCUAGGGAAACCUGGGCUAAUACCGCAUAAUACCUACGGGUCAAAGCAGCAAUGCGCUGAAUGAGGGGGUCGCGGUCGAUUAGUUAGUUGGCAGGGUAAUGGCCUACCAAGACUGUGAUCGAUAUCCGGCCUGAGAGGGCGCACGGACACACUGGAACUGAAACACGGUCCAGACUCCUACGGGAGGCAGCAGUGGGAAUUUGCGCAAUGGGGGAAACCCUGACGCAGCAACGCCGCGUGGAGGAUGAAGUCCUUGGGACGUAAACUCCUUUCGAUCGGGACGAUAAUGACGGUACCGGAAGAAGAAGCCCGGCUAACUUCGCGCCAGCAGCCGC
rnacentral:rRNA from 1 species